rnacentral:rRNA from 1 species
GACGAACGCUGGCGGCGUGCCUAAUACAUGCAAGUCGAACGCAUUUUCUUUCACCGUAGCUUGCUACACCGAAAGAAAAUGAGUGGCGAACGGGUGAGUAACACGUGGGUAACCUGCCCAUCAGCGGGGGAUAACACUUGGAAACAGGUGCUAAUACCGCAUAAUUCCAUUUACCGCAUGGUAGAUGGAUGAAAGGCGCUUUUGCGUCACUGAUGGAUGGACCCGCGGUGCAUUAGCUAGUUGGUGGGGUAACGGCCUACUAAGGCUGCGAUGCAUAGCCGACCUGAGAGGGUGAUCGGCCACACUGGGACUGAGACACGGCCCAGACUCCUACGGGGGGCAGCAGUAGGGAAUCUUCGGCAAUGGACGCAAGUCUGACCGAGCAACGCCGCGGGAGUGAAGAAGGGUUUCGGAUCGUAAAACUCGGUUGUUAGAGAAGAACAAGGAUGAGAGUGGAAAGUUCAUCCCUUGACGGUAGCUAACCAGAAAGCCACGGCUAACUACGUG